GCACGAGGACCCACACAUUUAGGUCCAUAAAGUGCUCACAUCAUGAGGAAGUGUGGCGAAUGAUUUGGGAUCAUCCGGAGUCAUUUACGAUGCGAGUGGCGGGAACCACAAGCAUUGAAACCCUGACAGCAGCCUGUCAACACACCGGAAAUAGGCACCGUAUCCAGGCCCAGGCUGCUUGCGGUGGCUUGUUUUCGACUAUCUUAACAGCUUGCUGUCUCAUGGUUGGUCUCACAUAGGUGGUUGCCCUCGAACAUGCUCAAGGCUAUUUGGCAAUUUUUAAUGCGUGCCGAAAUUCAAGUGUGGGGAGUCGGGUCACUUACCGUCUGGGAUCGAAUGGUAUGAAUCCCCUCCAGUUAGAUAGGCAUGCGAUGCACGAACAUGUGGGGUCAUCUCUGCCCCUUUGGCAAUAUGCAACCGCGAGCCAAAACCCGGUCGUACUUUCGAUCUCUGAUCCGAGGCUUGUCACAACAAUUCAAAUUAGACCGGAUUAGGGCACGGGUGUAACAGAUCACAUGCUUCAAGAGGGAGAGUUCUGUUGAGUCGAUUCUAAUUCUGGAAUACUUAGACAGGUCUGAAUCCUUAGUCUCUUAUAGUAGCAAUAAACAAGAACAACGAGAAAAUACCAAAGUAUGGAAGCAAAUAAAGUAUCAAGAACCAAGAGAAUUGUGGGUGGGGUGGCUAUCUCGGCCAGGGCGUCUCAUCCACAACUAUCUCGGCUGUUUAGAAGUAAUUGACUACAAUCUUUAUUUAUUCAAAUCUGAAAUUAUGAGUACAUAGGCUCCUCUAUUUAUAGAGGGUAGAAUAACAAUCAAAACAUAACUAGGAGCUAGUUUUCAAAUAGGACUAUACACUCCUAUUACAACUAGGACUUCAAAUAGAACUAGGACUAGACUUAUAACUCCAAUAUGGAGUAGGACUAACUAACUAACUAAGAGUCCUUAUAGGACAUUACAAUCGAUGGGCCCAAUGGGCCUUUAUUGAAUUAAAUAAUAGCUUAAAUAGACUAAAGAAAUCGAUGGGCCCUAUGGGCCCUUAUUUAAUUACUUAACCCACUUAAUUAAGUGGGGCGAUAGGGGUCCUUUGGGCUGGGCUUCUUCCUGCGGUAGCUUAGCCCAUAAUAUGGGUCUACAUCAGCUCCCCCUUAGAAUCAUUUGUCUUCGAUGAAUGGAUGGACAUAUAGUGCUCGUAGAGAUCCGUAUCAAGACGUCAAAAGUCAUCUGUAUAGAUCCAGGUGCAAUCUUGUUGUGGUUGACCUUUCCACUUGACGAGGAACGAAUAGUAAUCCUUACCACCACGAACGGUAGUGAAUUUGUUGUCAAGGACAUCUUCAAUAACAUCAUCUACUGAGGUUACCAACUGAGGAAGCUUUAGGGUAUGCUCCGUGUCACCUUUAUCAGAAUGGUGUCCUAUGUAUAGUAUAAGGUCAGCCACAUUACAGACAUUGUUGAUCUUCAGAGUAGGAGGUAGUUCUAGCAUGUAAGCAUUGGGACCAAUACGUUUCAAAAUCUUAUAUGGACCCAUAUUCCGAGGAUGGAGCUUGUACACUGUACCAGGAGGGAACCUCUUGGGUGGAAUUCAAAUCAUCACCAUAUCACCAGAUUGAAAUUCCAUGUAGCGUCGAUGACGGUUAGCAGUUGCUUGAUACCCGUCAUUUCUAAUGGCUAUGCGGUGACGAACAUUAGCCUGUAGCUUUGUUAUAUGCCUAAGGAACCCAUCCGCUUCAACACUAAUACGGGCAUGAGGUGGCAAUGGUACCAUGUCAACCGAUCGCUGUGGUUGUAGUCCAAGAACAAUUUCAAAUGUAGUACGACCAGUGGUGCAGUUGACAGAGCUAUUAUAUGCGGACUCUGCGAUGUCAAGAAUAGAUGGCCAUGUCUUCUCAUAAUCACAAACUAGGCAACAGAGCAAAUUUCCAAGGCUUUUAUUCACUACCUCCGUUUGACCGUCUGUUUGAGGGUGGAAUGCCAUAGGAGUUUAGUGUUUGUUUUCAGCCAUAGGGUCUUCCAAAAAUAGCUCAUGAACUUAUCAUCCCUAUUUGAAACAAUCGUUUGUGGCAAACCAUGUAUACACACUAUCUCUUUGAAGAAGAGCUUGGCUAAGUGACUUGCAUCAAGUGUUUUUCUGCAUGGGAUAAAGUGUGCCAAAAUGUCCUCCCAUUCCUCGUCCAUGUAGCUCUCGAACCAAGUGGUGCCUUAGAGAGGUGUUUAGAAUCCAAAGAUGGGUGCCCUUGAAGAGGUAUCCAUCAUGUAUGGAGUAUUUUUCAUUUCUAUCCCCUUCUUGUAACUUCUUGAAUACUUCUGAAAUAGGGUAAUUUACAGUGCCACCCCCUAGAGAAUGCCACUAUUAUAAGGACACCCCCUCUGUUUCACCAAAUUAGACUCAGACCCUUUAUCGUCAGUCACUGUUAAAUGAAAAGUUAAAAUGACCAUUAUACCUUGUUGUUAAAGGUUGGAAGCGAUAGAACGCAUUUACCAGCACACAACCAACCAACGAGACUAUGACCUUGGUUUCGAAACAACUAACACACACCGGUCGGCAAACAUCGGCGCUGAAGAUCUGAACAAUGGAUUCGAAUCUGAUAGCUAAUAAGCUAGUAUUGCUUUUGCUAUUAUGCUUUACAGCAAAAGCUAGCCACCGGCGGGAGCAUCGAGUUCGAUGCCAAUGACUAAUCCAGAUCUUUAUCGAUGGUUAAGUAACUCACAACACUACAACUGAAAAAAAAGAAAGAAGCAAAACCAGUGGCAUUUCGAGCUAAGUCUAUUAUGACGUUAGUAAGAUAGAUACCUUGAGAAUCCAUGCAAUGGAUUCCUCUCGAGCGGAAGCAUCAAGUUCUUGAGAUCGAAACCUGGUGGAGUAAUCCAAUCCAGGCAUGUGCUCUUUUUAUAUAUAUAUAUAGGUAAUGACUGAAAAUGUUGAUUACAAAACCCAUAAAGCUCCCGAUUUCUUAAACGAGAAAGUGAAGGGCAGAUUCAUUCCACAGAUCCGAGGAAAAUAAGGCACGUAUACCAUUACAGUGCAUUGUGAAUAACUAGAGAUACCAGAUCCAAUAGAAAUUUUAAAAUUGAAAAGGAGACCAUGAGAGAGAAUCUCCAAAUGGAAACUAAAAGGGGAAGAUCAGAUCUGGCUUACCCAUCAUCAGGGAGUACACGACGAGGUAAUUGUUUUUGACUGAAUUAAAAGGAGCAGAGGUACUGAUGUGAUCUUUGUUGGUUUUGCUGAACUCGAGGGUACUCGGUAGAUGGAUCUGCUCACUCGCUCGCUUUUGCACGAGAAACAAAGAGAGAGAACUGUGAGAGAAACGAUGUGAAUGUGGCAUGUACUCUCCUUCCUUUAAGAAUUGGCAAUUGGUCGCUGUUGUCGUCGAUGUUGCUGCUGUUGUGAUAUCCGGUGAUUGUUGGGGAGAAAGGUAUAGUAAUUAUGGAUUUGGGGUGGGACUUAUUACAUGGGCAUUUUAGGUACUUCACAUUUAGUAAGGGCAUUUUGGUGUUUAAAAUAAAAUAUAGCAGCUGACAUCAACAUGUAAGGUAUAUUCCUUAAACUAAUGGUAGGAGGUCUGAGUCUAAUUUGGUGAAACAAAGGGGGUGUUCUUAUAAUAAUGGCAUUCUCUAGGGGGUGGUGCCGUACACAUCAUCAUCAUUGGCAUACUCAUCUUUGAUGUGUUCCACUCCUGAACUUUGCACUAUGAAGGUAUUCAUCAUUAGCACCUUCUGGCUAUGUGCAUCAGCCACUUGAUUCUCUUUCCGUACCUUGUAUUUGAGAAAAAAUAUGAAUCCUUGCAAGUAUGAGAUCCACUUAGCAUGUCGAUCGUUGAUGGUCUUUUAUGAAUGCAAGUGUUUGAGUGUUUCAUGAUCCGGAUAAAGGACAAUCUCUUUACCGAUUAAAUAGUGUCUCCAAUGCUUGAGGAUUUGGACGACGGCAUAGAGUUCUAGGUCAUAAGUAGAGUACCUUCUUUUAGCAUCAUUUAACUUUUCACAGUAGAAGGCUAUUGGAUGACCCUCUUGCAUAAGCACUCCUCCUAUCCCAGCAUGGGAUGCAUCAGUAGCCACUUCGAACAUGAGAUCAAAAUUGGGUAGCCUAAGUACUGGUGCUUCUGUCAUCUUUUGUUUGAUCAAGUUGAAUACUUUAGUGGCAGUGGGAGUCUAUUGGAAUGGAACUUUUCCCCCUUUUGUGCACUCUGUGAUGGGGGCUACAAUAGCAUUGAAAUUCCGUAUGAAUCAUCAACAGAAUGAGGUAAGACUGUGAAAACUGUGAACUUCUGUCCAGGUUAACUAUGAACUUCUAUCAAGGUCUUUGGAAUGGGCCAAUCUACCACGCUCUUCACUUUUUCUUGAUCAGCUUCUAAUCCUUGUGAGGACACAAUAAAGCCAAGGAAUAUAACCUUGGGCAGCAUGAAAGAACACUUCUUCAAGUUGAUAUAGGGCUUCUCUUCUCGUAACACCCUUAUAACACGCCUCAAAUGCUAAAGGUGCUCAUCUUGUGCUUUGUUGUAAAUUAAGAUGUCAUCAAAGUAUACUACAAGGAACUUGCCAAUGUAGGGGCACAGUACGUGAGUCAUCACUCUCAUGAAAGUGCUAGGUGCAUUGGCGAGGCCAAAAUGCAUGAUCUUCCAUUCAUAAAGCCUUUCGUUGGUUUUGAAGGCUGUUUUUCAUUCAUCACUUGGACGGAUUUGAAUUUGAUGGUAACCAUUUCGUAGGUCACUCUUUGAAAAUAUGGAAGCUCCUGUCAACAUAUCUAGCAUAUCAUCUAAACAAGGAAUAGAAAAUCUGUAUUUUAUCGUGAUUUUAUUGAUAGCAUGACUGAUAAUACACAUACACCAUGGUCCAUCUUUCUUUGGUAUUAGUAGGGCUGGUAAGGCACAUAGACUUAUGCUCUCCACUAGAAAGCCUUUUCGUAACAAGUCAUCCACUUGUCUUUUGAGCUCGGCAUGCUCUGUAGGGCUAAGACGAUAAGUGGGUAGAUUUGGGAGUACUAACCCAGGCACUAGGUCGAUGGCAUGUUGGAUGUCCCUCAUAGGUGGUAGUUCAUCUAGCAAAUCAUCAGGCACCAAAUCUGAAAAAUCAGCAAGUAACUCUUUGAUUUGUAGUGGAUGUGUUACCUCUUUUACCGGUUCAGCUUCCUUAGUAACAAGGGCUAAUAUCAAUCCGGUCUCUUCACUGGUAGUCAAGAGCUCCCUACACAGUUUAUUAUCCAACGUGGCUUCUUGGUGAUAUUGGCUUUGAAUGGUUGCUUCUUUUGUUGAGUGGGUCCAUUGGAAGAGGCCUUUGCAACAUUCUUCAAGACAUGUUGUCUUCUUACUUGGGAAACCCUUAAUUUUUCCUUCACUUGGGGUAUGUUGAGUGGAUUUAGAAUAAAUGGUUUGCCUUUGUGAUCGAAGAGCAUUGGUUCUUAGUAUCUCCAACUAGAACAUUGUUGUCAUAGAGCCAAGGUCUACCAAGUAGCACAUCAAUGAGAACCAUGGGAAUGACAUCACACCAUAAAUUUUCUUCAUAAUCGAAAACCUUCAGUGCUACAGAACAACGUUGAGUUACAGCCAUUGGUCUUGUUGUCUAGCUAUGAUACUUUGUAUUGUUGUGGAUGGGGUUUCAGUUUUUAGCUUUUCUCCAGCCACGAAAGCUUGAGAUACUACGUUCACACAACUCCUGCUGUCCACAAUCACCUGAGCUUUGUGAGAUCCACAAGACAUCAAAGUGUAGAAGAUAUUGUGCCGCCUCCAGUCUUCCCCCUCGCCACUAGGAUUCGUGCCACCACAUUGACAUAGGCAUAAGGAUCAUCGUCCCCUUGUGCAUACUCAUCCUCGAGAUCAUCUUCCAUCCCUUCAACAACAACAUUAACGAUCCAAUCAUCAUUUUGAGGUUCACAGAUUUGCAGGUCAGGGUUGGACUCAAUAGCACUGAUGAUGGAGUUGGCCUGACCACGCUUAGGCCAGAAUUUUGCAACAUGACCAAUUCCCCCACAACCAAAGCAUGUUACAGCUCCUGACUCUUUUCCCCCCAUUGGAGUCUUACCCUUAUCCUGUGUAGUUAGUGGAGCUCGGCUAGGAAAUCCACUGGGUUUAGUUGGUGCGAAUGGCUUUUUAACAUCAGUCGGCUGAGUGAAUCUUUUAAGGGCUAAGUGCUCUGAUACCACUUAAUGUAGGAGUAGAUUACAAGAAGCUAACCCCCACAAUGUAGGACCCCCAAAUAAUACAACUAGUAACCCAAGAUUGACAAAUUACCUAUGAAGAUGCUUUAGAAUAAAGAAAACAAAACCCAGGAAUAAUUCCACACAAUAGUAAUUCAACCUAACAAGAAAAAACCCCAAAGAGACAAUUGGCCAGGAGAGAGAAAAUACCCUGCACAGCCUUAAAGAGAGGAUGGUGCGACUUCAGCUGGAGAGCUCAGAAUGAGCUGCAAAUUGGAUUGAAGGCAGUCCCUAGGGAGGGUACAAAAACCUAAAAAUUUGAGAACCUUCUGACGAGGGGUUGUUGAGAUACCUACUUUCUUAAAAAUCAGACCUGGGAGAGAGAUCGCAUGCUUCAAGAGGGAGAGUUCUGUUGAGUCGAUUCUGAUUCUGAAAUACUUGGACAGGUCUGAAUCCUUAGUCUCUUACAGUAGCAAUAAACAAGAACAACAAGCAAAUACCAAAGUAUUGAAGCAAAUAAAGUAUCAAGAACCAAGAGAAUUGUGAGUGGGGAUGGCUAUCUCGGCCCGGGCAUCUCAUCCACCGCUAUUUCAGCUGUUUUGAAGCAAUUGACUGCAAUCGUUGUUUAUUCAAAUAUGAAAGUAUAAGUACAUAGGCUCCUCUAUUUAUAGAGGGCAGAAUAGCAAUCAAAACACAACUAGGAGCUAGUUUCCAAAUAGGAUUAGACACUGCUAUUACAACUAGGACUUCAAAUAGAACUAGGACUAAACUUAUAACUCCAACAUGGGGUAGGACUAACUAACUAAGAGUCCAUAUAGGACAUUACAAUCGAUGGGCGCAAUAGGCCUUUAUUGAAUUAAAUAACAGCUUAAAUAAAUUAAAGAAAUCAAUGGGCCCAAUGGGCACUUAUUUAAUUACUUAACCCACUUAAUUAAGUGAGGCAAUAGGGGUCCUUUGGGCUAGGCUUCUUCCUGCGAUAGCCUAGCCCCUAAUAUGGAUCUACAUCACCUACCCUUAACUCAAGUUUCUAGGCCUGAUCGAUUGCCCCUCUAGCAAGAUUUGCAAACCCUGUUAUGUUGGUAGGGAAACAAUUGUAGGAAAUAUAGAACAGAAGAAGAUAAGAGAAGGAAGUAGAGGAAUAGAAGAUUGGUAUUGCUGGAAGAAGAAGAAAAGGGAGAGAGAAACAUAAGGGCCAGCAGGCGACGUCACACCCACCAGGGUAGAAACUCCACUCGGAAAUUUCUUUCGAUUCCAAAAGCUAAUCUCCAUAAUCGUUUUACAGCAAUUUAAAGAAGAGUUCCUUACAUAAAAUUGGAAAGCAAGUAAAAGAUAGAGACUAAUCUAAAAUAGAAACUAACUAAUUGCAAAGGAAAUCCUACGUAUCUACUUCUAAUUCAAUUUAGAAAAUCAAAUAAACUAAGAUUCCCUAUUAUCAACUACCAACCCUUGGCAGACCAGAUAAUCAUUUUGGGUUGGUUGUGUCUUGGCUUUGACCUCUAUGGUGGGUAAGUUUGAUCCAGCCAAGCCAAGGCAUGUAUCACUUUCUCAUCACAGAAGUUUCUAGCUUCUUCAUAGAAGUCCAUCAACAUCAGUCUUUUCUUCAAUCAAUAUGCCAUUUCUUCCAUCAAUGGUUCCACUACAAAGACUUGGGUUUCAUCAUUCUCUUAGCACAUGAACAAAUAUGUUAGAACACACAAACGCAUAUCACGUAAGGUUUUCAUAUGCAAAACAAGCUCCUGCUUUGUGGAGAUGACAAACCAUGAUAAUGCGUCAAAUGUAAUCAUGAAGAAUGUUGAUUGAUAAGUGUUUAUAAAAUAAAAAAGAUGACUAUACCAAUUUUAAUAUACUUAAAUUUUGGUAACAAGAAUAAUAUAUUGAUUUCUUAACUUAUUUUUGUUGACAAAGUUCUUAUAAAUUGUAUAUCUCAUAUAAGCAUAAGAGAGUUUAGCAAAACUGGCACUGAUUAAUAGCCUUUUAUCCUUAGAUAAGUCUCCCCUUUUAUGUUGACAGAUAUGACGAGUCGUUCCUCUCGUGACACAUCAUCACAUCAACAUUUUAUACUAUUUCCCCUUAUUUGGGUGAAUAGAUAAUACAAUAAGUCGUUACGCAUCGUCACACAAUUGUCUCAUUUACUUAUUUACUCCCCUUAUUUCGGUAAAUAGAUAACAUGUUCGCCACUACACAUCAUCAUAUAUUUUUCUCCUCAUUUGACAUCUCCAAAAACAAAAAAUGGAUGUCAAUUUUAGAAAUAGGUCUUUCAGACUUUACCUUUUCCUUUGGAUAUUCAAUGAGUUCAUUUAGCCAUCGAGGGCACAACUGGCCUUACAUAUAGAUCAAAAGAUAUUCAAUAUAACACAUGGACCUAUUAGGCCAGAGAUGGACUUACAUAUAGGCUGAGUCUUUUUCAAACCUCGAGUUCCUAUAAGGCAUGGGUCAUGCAAAUGCAUAUGCUUUUGACUUAGUCUAUAUGAUGCUUAUGACUUGACUAAAGUUAUGCUUUGAUGCUCAUAAUGCUUCAAGUGAUGCAAACAACAUAUCAACAAAUAUUUGUUUAGAUAAAAUAGUUGGUGAACACUCAACCAUCCAAACGCUUACAGUAAGUGAAGAAAGUUAGUGAACAUCCAAACCAUGCACACACACACACGUCACUUUCAUAAACUAAUGCUGGAUGGGGGUAAUGACUUGUAUCAAAUAUGACAGUAGCCCUCUUUAUUUGUAAUAACGACGAGAAAUUUCUAGAGUAUUACAAGGACCAUUAAUCCCAUUAAGGAUCUAAGGACCCGUUUGGUUUGUCACUUUCCUUAAAACCCAUUAUUACAAUACUUCCCAAGCUGGUACAUAGAUAUGCCCAAUUUGUAGAUAAUAGGAUGAAACAUCUUACUACUAAGACCUUUAGUAAAUACAUCACCCAGUUGUUCACUACUGGGAACAAAGGGCACAAUGAUAAGACCCAUAUCUAGCUUUUCUUUGAUGAAGUGUCGAUCGAUCUCCACAUGUUUGGUUUGAUCAUACUAGACAGGGUUGUGAGCAAUACUGAUGAUAGAUUUGUUGUCACAAAAGAGGUUCAUAGGAAGGAUAGUAGGGAUAAUCAAAUUUGUGAGAAGACCAUGAGGCCAUAAGAGCUCACAAAUUCCAUGGGCCAUAGCACGAAACUUUGCUUUAGCACUUGAUCGGGCAACUACGGCUUGCUUUUUGCUUUGCCAUGUAACCAUGUUACCUCCAACAAAGGUGCAAUAACUAGUAUUAGACCUACGGUCAUCAGGAGAACUUGUCCAAUCAGCAUCCGUGAAGGCCUCCACCCUAAGGUGAUUAUUAGGGGAAAAAUGAUGCCAUAUCCUUGGGUAGACUUCAAGUAACAAAGGAUACGUAGUACAACAUCCAUAUGUGUCGAGUAGGGAUCAUACCUGUACUGACUAACCAAGCUGACACAAAUGCUAUGUCAGGGUGUGUAUUAGAAAGAUAGAUCAAGCACCCCACUAAUCUCUGAUACCUCCCCUUAUCCACAGAAUCACCUUCCUUAUGGUAAUCGUUAGCUUUAAUAUGAGUAUUUGCCUGCUUGUACCUUGAUAUGCCUGUCUUAGAAAGCAGGUCAAACACAUACUUUCGCUGAGACAAGUAGCGAGGACCAGCAACUUCAGUGCCAAAGAAGUAACAAACUGUCCUAGAUAUUUGAUCACAAAUUCCUCAUCCAAUUAUCUCUUGAGGCAAGAUAUCUCUGUCAGAUCAUUGCCAGUAACAACAAUAUCAUCUACAUAGACUAUCAAGAUAGCAACUAGUCUCAUGGCAUCAGAGGGAAGGAGGGAACCACCUUAUGCUUCUUCGAAUCAAUUGGUUACAGGUGUUCUAGAUAAGGAUCAUUUCAUUGCAGAUUCAAGAGUUGCUACUUCUUUUUUCUUUUCCUUUAAAAAAAAAAAGCAUUUCAAUCUUCCCACCAGAUCUCUUUAUGAGCAGUGUGUGGUCGGCAUUGCUUUGAGAGUAGCCUAUAGCAACCAUAGCCUUGUGAACAUACCCGAACCAAGCACGAGGGGAUUGCUUCAGCCCAUGUAAUGCACGCUUCAACUUGCAUACCUUCCCUUGAGUUUUGGAGCAAGUGAAUUCAGGGGAAUGCCUGUAUACAUUUCCUCCUUAAGUUUCCAAUGAAGGAAGCAUCUUUUACAUCUAGUUGUUGAAGAUCCCAAUCUAAGUUGGUGGCACAAGAUAAGAUAACACUGAUUGUGUUCAUCUUAGCAACCUGAGAAAACGUCUCCUGGUAGUCAAAUUUGACAAGUCUAAGUGAACCCCUUGGCAACAAGUUUGGCCUUGUAACGAUCCAUUGUACCAUCAUCCUUUUGCUUCACUGUGAAGAUCCAUUGACACUCAACUAUCUUCUUUUAUGAGGGAACAUACACUAGAUCCCAUAUGUCAUUCUUCUUUAGAUCAUGCAUCUCUUCAACCAUAGCUGCAUCCUGUAGUGAGUCUUCAUUUGCUUCCUUCCAGGUAUAGGGAAUAGAUCCAAAGGAUAGAGAAGACACAAAACUAUAGUAGGAAUGAGAAAGUGAGUCAUAAGAAACAUUUUUAGCAGUAAGAUGCAAAGUACAAGAGCUAGUGCCUUUAGGGACAACAAUAGGCAACUGAAGAGAUGGAUCAACAAAAGGAGAAGGAGAAUUACCUGGUCCAAAGGGACAAGGUCAGGCUCAAGAGGAGGCAACUGGUAUAGUAGGGUAGGUGCUGGUAUGUAGUGGUUUGAGUCUGCUAUCUGCGACUACAAUCACGCAUCUCUGGUUGAGGCCGAGUUGAAGUAGGAGAAGUAGGAGUGUCACCCUCUCCGCUGAAAUAGGACACAUGCAUGAAUAUCAAGUUCAAAAGGUUGCGGCACAUCUUCCACAAUGAAAGGAGACUCUCCCUGAAGAGAUGUGUAGUGUAGUAGGACGUAAAUUCGUGGAAGACAACAUCCAUAGUCACAAACCAACACCAAGUGGGAGGGUAAAAAUGUUAAUAGCCUUUCUGAGUAGGAGUAUACCCAAAAAAAUACACUAGAGACCACGAGGAUCAAACUUUCCUUGAGGAUGAUGAUUUUGAGCAUAAUGACACUACCAACUACCUUGGGAGGAACAAGAAAAGCAAUGGACCUGGAGAAGAUCCAGAGGGGAGCGGAAGGUGAGAAUCUGGGAAGGCAUCCAGUUGAUCAAAAAGGUCGCAGUGAGAAUUACGUCACACCAGUACUGGAGAGGAACAUACAUCUCAAACAUAAAAGAGCGAGCUAGCUCACAAAGGUUGUGAUUCUUCCUUUCAGAGUUUGAAUUGAGUCUGAACCAUUCGAAUGAUCUUAAUGGUAGCACCAAACUGAAUAUGAACUAUCCGAUGAAACUGGUGAAACCAAUAAAAGGUCUCGCCCUUGGUUUGCAUCAUAUAAACCUUAGUGGUCCGAGAAUGACAAUUAAUUAAAGAGACAAGCCACUAAUAUCCAUUGAUAGACACAUCGAAGUACAAAUCUUUAAAGAAGGAAAAACCUUAGCUAAAGCUCCCAAAAAAGGAUGUCCUAACCGAUAAUGUCACUAUAGUAACUCAGAGAUGGGAGGUAACGUAGAGGAUGUCUGAAGAUCAUGACCAGAGACCAACUCUAAGUCAUCAUCAAGCAGAUACAAACCACCAUGUACCCUACCAAAGCCAAUCGUUGCCCCUGUCACUAGAUCCUGAAUGACACAAUGAAACGGGAAAAAUGUGACUUUGCAAUUAAGACUUGAAGUAAGACUACUAAUGACCAAUAGGUUAAUAGGAAAAGAGGGAAAAUGCAAUAUAGUAGAAAGGGAUAAAGAAGGGGUACUACUAAUGGAGCCCCUUCCCAAAAUAGUGAAAUAAGUCCUAACUUGACGUUACCAAGUAUAGUUCUUCUCCAGAGCCAUCAUUUCCUUAGUCAUGGCUUGCUUUCACUGAGGGUUAGACACAGCUUCAGUAAAGUUUUUAGGAAUAAAAACAGAGGAGAGGGCAACAAUGAAGGUAAACCUGUAGGAAGAGGGAGAGCAUCAAAGGAAACAAACUGGACUAUAGGAUUAGUACAAGCUCUCUUUCCCUUUCUAAUAGCAAUGGAAAGGUCUAACUCAGAUGAAGAAGAGGGGAUGUUACUUGGCUGAGGAAGGUGAAUCUCAGAAUGUGGAUCCAAAGAGGACUCUUUGUAGGUCAUUUUACUCCUUGUGUACACAAUAUCCACCUUUUCAGUACCAAAGCCUGAACCACCACCUGAAUGAUCACCAAUGUCAACAUCUACCUCUUUGUGUUGCCUAAUGUCAAGCAUAAAAGGGGAAGUAGGAAAGGGGGAAAGGAAAUGAAUGUCAUCAGCCUUUUCACACCCAUUAUUCUCCACUGAAGAGGAUGUUGAUGAGGAGCAAAAAAGGGAAUAAAUUCAAGGAAGGUAACAUCUUUGGAAAGAAGGCUUCAUCUGGAAGAAGGAUAGUAGCACUUGUAACCUUUGGUAGUGGAGGAAUAGUCAAAAAAGAUAAUGAGAGCCUUAGGGUCCAGUUUAAUCCAAGAAGAUUUACUGAUAUGGAUAUAACAAAUAAACCCAAACACCUUGGGGGGGGAGAGAGAGAGAAGUAUGAGGAGACAAGGUAUCCAAAGGAUUUUUGGAACCAAGAAUUUUUGUUGGCAUUCAAUUGUUUAAAAAAGUGGUAGUAAGGAGGACAUCAGACCAAAAAGUUUUAGGAACAUACAUGCCAAAUAGAAGACUCCUACUAACUUCUAUAAAAUGGUGAUGUUUUCUCUCAGCUACCCCAUUUUGUUGUGUGUCAACACUAGCCACCUGAUGAAUACCAUUAUUAGUAAAGAAGUCUCGUAGGCCAUCAUACACAUACUCACCCCCUUUAUCAGAAUGAACAAUUUUAAUUUUAGUGUCAAAUUAAGUACAGAUUAUAUGAUAAAAAAUUUUAAGGCAUCUAAAACAUCACUCUUAUGCUUCAUCAAAACAGUCCAAGUAGCAUGGGAAAAAUCAACAACAAAGGAAACAAAGUAGUGAUAACCAAAUAAAGAGAUAGCAGUAGAUGAAAAGGAACAAAAGAUCUAUUACCAUGAUAAGGACACGAGGAACGACAACGUUUGGCAAAAAUACAUGGUUUCACAAUGAAAUUCAUGUGAAGAAGAAAAA